rnacentral:rRNA from 1 species
AGGAACGCUAAUACCGCAUACGUCAUACGGAAGAAGCAGGGGACCUUCGGACUUUGCGCUAUCAGAUGAGCCUAGGUCGGAUUAGCUAGUUGGUGGGGUAAAGGCCUACCAAGGCGACGAUCCGUAACUGGUCUGAGAGGAUGAUCAGUCACACUGGAACUGAGACACGGUCCAGACUCCUACGGGAGGCAGCAGUGGGGAAUAUUGGACAAUGGGCGAAAGCCUGAUCCAGCCAUGCCGCGUGUGUGAAGAAGGUCUUCGGAUUGUAAAGCACUUUAAGUUGGGAGGAAGGGCAGUAAGUUAAUACCUUGCUGUUUUGACGUUACCAACAGAAUAAGCACCGGCUAACUUCGUGCCAGCAGCCGCGGUAAUACGAAGGGUGCAAGCGUUAAUCGGAAUUACUGGGCGUAAAGCGCGCGUAGGUGGUUUGGUAAGAUGGAUGUGAAAUCCCCGGGCUCAACCUGGGAACUGCAUCCAUAACUGCCUGACUAGAGUACGGUAGAGGGUGGUGGAAUUUCCUGUGUAGCGGUGAAAUGCGUAGAUAUAGGAAGGAACACCAGUGGCGAAGGCGACCACCUGGACUGAUACUGACACUGAGGUGCGAAAGCGUGGGGAGCAAACAUGAAAAGGGUACCCUGGUAGUCCACGCCGUAAACGAUGUCGAAAAAGCCGUGGAAUCCUUGAGACCCAGUAUCCCGGAGAGUCGCAAGCUACACGAGGUGAGCCAGCGCAUCAG